rnacentral:rRNA from 1 species
UAGGGAAUCUUCGGCAAUGGACGAAAGUCUGACCGAGCAACGCCGCGUGAGUGAAGAAGGUUUUCGGAUCGUAAAACUCUGUUGGUAGAGAAGAACGUUGGUGAGAGUGGAAAGCUCAUCAAGUGACGGUAACUACCCAGAAAGGGACGGCUAACUACGUGCCAGCAGCCGCGGUAAUACGUAGGUCCCGAGCGUUGUCCGGAUUUAUUGGGCGUAAAGCGAGCGCAGGUGGUUUAUUAAGUCUGGUGUAAAAGGCAGUGGCUCAACCAUUGUAUGCAUUGGAAACUGGUAGACUUGAGUGCAGGAGAGGAGAGUGGAAUUCCAUGUGUAGCGGUGAAAUGCGUAGAUAUAUGGAGGAACACCGGUGGCGAAAGCGGCUCUCUGGCCUGUAACUGACACUGAGGCUCGAAAGCGUGGGGAGCAAACAGGAUUAGAUACCCUGGUAGUCCACGCCGUAAACGAUGAGUGCUAGAUGUAGGGAGCUAUAAGUUCUCUGUAUCGCAGCUAA